UUUUUUAUUUUUAAUUAUAUGUAUAUUAUAAAAUGAGACCUGUACAUUGUAAAAUAUUUGAAAAAUAAACACAAGGGAAAUAUAUACAAGAAAAAAUAAAAUUAUCUUCUCCAUCCAGACCUUUUAUGCCUUUAUAUUUAGUGUGUACAGCAUAUAGUUUGGUCAGCCUAUGUGCAACUAUGACAGCCGUCUUUUUUUUUUAAUUAGACUAUUUAGUACUUUAAAAUAAGAUAAUUAUUGACAUGGUUUUAUGGCUAUUAUCUUACUAUUUAUUUUUUUUUGUCCACCAAUUCUUCCCCCCCCCCCCUUCUUGCCUUCUUUUGGGUUGAAAACAUUUUAUUAUUCCAUUUUGUCUUGUCUAUUGUUUUUUUCACUCUGCCCCACCCUGCUUUUUCUGGUUUCUUUAUGAAUUACAACAUGUAUCACAGUAGUCUAUCUUGCAGGUUAUUUUAUGCACAAUUUAAGGAACUUAAAUUGGUAUACUUCCAUUUUCUUCUAGCCCUUUAUACAAUUGUCAUACAUUUCAUUCCCCCUCUCUCCCUCUCUUUCAGAAUACAUUAUUUAAUACAAGCAACUAUCUUUUGAACAAAUUCAAAAAUUGAUUUUUAAAAAGGACUUUUAUAGUUGCCACUUAUUUACCAUACUCAGCCCUCUUCAUUUGCUGGUAUAGAUGCUAAUUUCCAUCUGGUAUCAAUAUCAUUUAGCCUAAACUAAUCUGCUUCAACAUUCACAAAGUGCAAGACUGCUAGUGAUAGUCUCUGAGUAAAUUUUGUUCACGAAAAAACAUCUUUAUGUUGUCUGUGUUUUUGAAUGGUAUUUGAAGGACACUGAUUUCUGGACUUUGAGUUCUAUUUCAACAAUUUUUUAAAAUUUUGCUUUUAAUAAUUUACUUCACUAGUUGUUUUUUAUGAAAAAUAUGAGGCCAUAGUUAUAGUUUCUCUGGAAGUAGUAUGGUAUCCCCUUCUGUCUGCUUUUAAAAAGUCCUUUAUAUUUGGUCUACAGCAGUUUGACCAUGUUGUAUUUUUGUGUGGCUUUUUUUUUUUCCUUUACCUUGCUUAGGGAUUGUGGAGAUUCUUAAAUCUACAGGUUGAUUUUUUUUUUAGUCAAAAAAAAUGCUAGGCCACUAUUUAUUUACUUACCCCAUUGACUUUCUAUCUGUUACGGGAUUCUACUGCUUGACAUUAUUGUCACACAGGCGUAUGAGUGUCUUUUAAUUUUUCUUUAAUUUGUUUUCUGUGUGCCUCAGUUUCAGUGAUUUCUAUUUUUCCAUCUUCAAGUUGAUUGAUAAUGCAUUUUACAAUAUCCUAUUAAGCCAUCCAGUACUUUCUUGUAUUUUUUAAAAAGUUUGGAUAGAUUGUAGUUUUCAGUGCUAGAAUUUUCAUUCAGUUCUUUUUUAUAAUUAUCAUUUCUCUAUUGCGAUUUCCCUUCAUUCAUUACAGUUAGAUUUUUCUUUAUGCUUUUAUUUAAAACUGCAAAAUAAACUAUUGAAGAAGUUAAUUCUGACAUGUCAUCUCUGUUUCUAAUGAUUGUUUUUCUUGUUUGGUUUUGAAUCACAUUUUGCUGUUCUUUCAGAUAUCUAGUAAAUAUUUAUUAUAUAUUCUGCAUAGUGUUUAUUGUUGACAAAUUGAUUUUUGUGUUUCCUUAAAGUAUUGAGUUUUUGUUUUGGCUUGUUUUUCUGGAAAGCAAUUAACCCACUGAUACAUCAUCUUGAUUAUCUCCAGUCGUGUUUUUCAGUUUGUUCGUUUUUUAUUGUAGUUCUAGAGUAACCUUAAUUCUAGGACUAUAGAAGCCCUUCCACAAAGGCUUUUCUGGAUUGUGUGUCUUUUCUGAAAUCUCAAUGAACUGACUAGAGUGUUCACAUGAAAUUUGGUUUGCUAUACCUGGUGUGUUCUCUAGUUGUUCAGUUUUUUUUUUCCUAAGCAAAACCUUGCAGAAUAUUACCUGAGGCAUAUGCAGUUCAAUCUUCAGCAAAAGACAUAAGAGAACUCCUCUGCAGAGCCCUGGAGCUUUUUGCUUUAUGC
rnacentral:lncRNA from 1 species